rnacentral:lncRNA from 1 species
AGGUAUGCGUGGGGCCGAAAAAUUUUGAUCAUGAAGAAGGAUGUAUCAGACAUCAAUUAGGAUUUUCGCUGAUGGAUUGAUUUUACUAUAAUUCAUUGUUCUAAUAUGAUUAGAGUUUAAUGAUUAUAGAUUAAAUCAAAAUCUUUGUUCUAAUAUGAUUAGAAGCCAUGUUUAAUUUUGGUUAAUCAAAUUUUAUCAUUUACCUAAUUGGAUUAGGGUUUGAGUUAUGGGUGACUGAAUCUAAGUUAACCUAAUUAAAUUAGGUUUAACUUAAGAAUUGGUCAACCUAACUCAUAUGGAUGAUAAAUGAUUGACCUAAUAUUGAACUUUGCAUCAAGUAUUGAACCCGAAUCGGAAACCCU